rnacentral:lncRNA from 1 species
AGGCUUAUUUCCUCGCGGUUCAUAACCCCAACACACACCUGUUGACGAAAAAUACAACCCGAGGUCUAAAAAUCUUAUGAAGUUGUCUUUUGGUACUUCAUGCGUCAAGGCCAGAGGAGAUAACUCAGUCGUGAACAUGUUUAGCGUUCCUGAAACGACCGCGUCAUAACUAACAGUGAACAUAACCU